rnacentral:rRNA from 1 species
GAUGAACGCUGGCGGCGUGCCUAAUACAUGCAAGUCGAGCGAACAGAUGAGGAGCUUGCUCCUCUGACGUUAGCGGCGGACGGGUGAGUAACACGUGGAUAACCUACCUAUAAGACUGGGAUAACUUCGGGAAACCGGAGCUAAUACCGGAUAAUAUAUUGAACCGCAUGGUUCAAUAGUGAAAGACGGUUUUGCUGUCACUUAUAGAUGGAUCCGCGCCGCAUUAGCUAGUUGGUAAGGUAACGGCUUACCAAGGCAACGAUGCGUAGACGACCUGACAGGGUGAUCGGCCACACGUGAACUGAGACACGGGCCAGAGUCCGACGGGAGGCAGCAGUAGGGAAUCUUCCGCAAUGGGCGAAAGCAUGACGGAGCAAAGCCGCGUGAGUGAGGAAGGUCUUCGGAUCGUAAAACUCUGUUAUUAGGGAAGAACAAAUGUGUAAGUAACUAUGCACGUCUUGACGGUACCUAAUCAGAAAGCAACGGCUAACUACGUG